UUUGUUUCUUAUCUUUUUUCUUUAGAAAUUGAAGCUAAGAAAUUAUUUUUCAGGUAAUUCGACGUCAAGAAAGUGAAUUCCCAUCGGCGAAAACUCCAAAAGGAGAAAAGUUUUGAAAUAGGAAGAAGAAGAGCAAUUGGUGGACGGAAACGAUAUGGAAGUAGAUGAUUCAGACUAUGAGGAUUCUGACAUUGAAGAGCUAUGAUUCUAAAAUGAUAUAAUCAAGAGAUGGUUUUGAUUGGUUUUAAACUUUUGUGUUGAACUUUUAUAUUGUUAAUUUAACUUGUUUUUUUUUUCUUUGUUG
ensembl:ncRNA Y108G3AL.10 ncRNA